UGGGGAAUAUUGGACAAUGGGGGGAACCCUGAUCCAGCCAUGCCGCGUGUGUGAAGAAGGCCUUUUGGUUGUAAAGCACUUUAAGCAGUGAAGAAGACCAUAUGGUUAAUACCCAUAUGCGAUGACAUUAGCUGCAGAAUAAGCACCGGCUAACUCUGUGCCAGCAGCCGCGGUAAUACAGAGGGUGCAAGCGUUAAUCGGAAUUACUGGGCGUAAAGCGAGCGUAGGUGGCUUAAUAAGUUAGAUGUGAAAUCCCCGGGCUUAACCUGGGAACUGCAUCUAAAACUGUUUCGCUAGAGUAGGUGAGAGGGAGGUAGAAUUUCAGGUGUAGCGGUGAAAUGCGUAGAGAUCUGAAGGAAUACCGAUGGCGAAGGCAGCCUCCUGGCAUCAUACUGACACUGAGGUUCGAAAGCGUGGGUAGCAAACA
rnacentral:rRNA from 1 species